UGGGGAAUAUUGGACAAUGGGGGCAACCCUGAUCCAGCCAUGCCGCGUGUGUGAAGAAGGCUUUCGGGUUGUAAAGCACUUUCAGUGAGGAGGAAAACCUUAAGUUUAAUACGCUUGAGGCUUGACGUUACUCACAGAAGAAGCACCGGCUAACUCCGUGCCAGCAGCCGCGGUAAUACGGAGGGUGCAAGCGUUAAUCGGAAUUACUGGGCGUAAAGCGCGCGUAGGUGGUUUGAUAAGCGAGAUGUGAAAGCCCCGGGCUCAACCUGGGAACGGCAUUUCGAACUGUCAGGCUAGAGUAUGGUAGAGGAGUGUGGAAUUUCCUGUGUAGCGGUGAAAUGCGUAGAUAUAGGAAGGAACACCAGUGGCGAAGGCGGCACUCUGGACCAAUACUGACACUGAGGUGCGAAAGCGUGGGGAGCAAACAGG
rnacentral:rRNA from 1 species